UGAGCAAUCUGCCCUUCUCAUCGGAAUAAGCGUUGGAAACGACGUCUAAUGCCGAAUACGACCUCCUUUCGCAUGAUCGGAGGUGGAAAGCUCCGGCGGAGAAGGAUGAGCUCGCGGCCUAUCAGCUAGUUGGUGUGGGUAAUGGCCCACCAAGACGACGACGGGUAGCCGGCCUGAGAGGGUGACCGGCCACACUGGGACUGAGACACGGCCCAGACUCCGUACGGGGG
rnacentral:rRNA from 1 species